rnacentral:rRNA from 1 species
UGGGGAAUAUUGGACAAUGGGCGAAAGCCUGAUCCAGCCAUGCCGCGUGUGUGAAGAAGGCCUUUUGGUUGUAAAGCACUUUAAGCGAGGAGGAGGCUACUUAGAUUAAUACUCCAGGAUAGUGGACGUUACUCGCAGAAUAAGCACCGGCUAACUCUGUGCCAGCAGCCGCGGUAAUACAGAGGGUGCGAGCGUUAAUCGGAUUUACUGGGCGUAAAGCGUGCGUAGGCGGCUUUUUAAGUCGGAUGUGAAAUCCCUGAGCUUAACUUAGGAAUUGCAUUCGAUACUGGGAAGCUAGAGUAUGGGAGAGGAUGGUAGAAUUCCAGGUGUAGCGGUGAAAUGCGUAGAGAUCUGGAGGAAUACCGAUGGCGAAGGCAGCCAUCUGGCCUAAUACUGACGCUGGGGUACGAAAGCAUGGGGAGCAAACAGG